rnacentral:rRNA from 1 species
GACGAACCGUGCGAACGUUAUUCGGAAUCACUGGGCUUAAAGAGCGCGUAGGCGGAUUGCCGCGUCGGAGUCUGAAAUCCCCCGGCUCAACCGGGAACUGGAUCCGAAACGGCGAGUCUUGAGGGACGUAGGGGGGGCUGGAACUUCCGGUGGAGCGGUGAAAUGCGUUGAGAUCGGAAGGAACGCCCGUGGCGAAAGCGAGCCCCUGGACGUCUGCUGACGCUGAGGCGCGAAAGCUAGGGGAGCGACGGGAGUAGAU